rnacentral:lncRNA from 1 species
UGUGCCGUUGGGCUGAAACGGCUACCGGGCGCGGGCACCUCUACCUGUGUUGGCCGGCCACUGACACGUCAGCGAGAGGCACCGCAAUCUGGCCGCCCUGGAUCGGCACCUUCCCUUCUGAAGAGGGAGGAGCCCCGUGGCGUGCGGUACCCCAGGGCCAGCUUUGGGGCUACAGGAAAGUCUAUGCUCAAAAAAACGACACCGGGCACCUCUCAAUCCGAGUUGCUGUCGAUCAUGUUUCAUACAACUGAAAGAAGUUUCUAGAACCUUUUAUCCUAGUUCUGCCCAAGGAUGAAGACCAAACACAGGAUUUCUGAAUACUAGCUAAAUGCUCUACCAUCCAGGUCCAAGUUUAACUUAUGGAUUGUCCUCAUUAUGGAAAAAUAAACAAUAUAUGUUCUUCUUAAGGUGACAACAGUAACUAUUUGAAUGUGGGGGUAGAUGUUGGAGGUAUCUUCAUUACUCCACCCCCAGGUGUUGGGAUGACCUUUCUUCACAUUGUAUGAAGGCCUUGUGCAUCCUCAUGGUGGCUGAACAGAAGACAAACCUUGUGAGAAGCAAUCGAAGAAAUUCAUCUCCAAAAAACUGGAGGAAGGCCUGAUCUGCAGAGAGGAAGCAACAGUGAAAGGAGGCAGGCCCUUUUUGAGAUAGAGUCUUAUGGAGCCUAGGCUGGCCUUGAACUCAUGAAGUAGCUAAGGACAACACUGAACUCCUGAUCCUCCUAUCUUAUCCUCCUGUCUUUUUACCUCCCAAGUGUGGGAUGAUAGGUCAUCUCUACCUUCUACUAAGCAUUGAUUCUACAAGAAACAACUGUAUUACCAGAUGCAAUGCUGUUUCUCAGUGCCUAGUACAAUGCCUGAUACUGAAUGAAUAAAGUAUGGUUGGACUAAGGAUAGAGCUACAGACAUAAAAAAUGUAGGAACCUUAUCAAAUACAUCUACUACUUUGUGGCCAGAGUAUCCAAGCCCUUUUGUAGAUGUCAACAGCCUGAGAAGUUUCCUAGGCCAGGAGUUCUACGGUCUUCAAAGAUGCCUAAGGUAUGUAAUCAAAGAUGUAGAAAAAUCAUGCUAUAUGGGUGUGACAAGAAAAAUCCGAACCAAUUUUUAAAUCUAUAAAAACCAGGAAGUCUUCUACAGCAAAGGAUCAA